UUAAGUUAUUAAGGGCGCACGGUGGAUGCCUUGGCACUAGAUGCCGAUGAAGGACGUUACUAACGACGAUAUGCUUUGGGGAGCUGUAAGUAAGCUUUGAUCCAGAGAUUUCCGAAUGGGGAAACCCAGCAUGAGUUAUGUCAUGUUAUCGAUAUGUGAAUACAUAGCAUAUCAGAAGGCACACCCGGAGAACUGAAACAUCUUAGUACCCGGAGGAAGAGAAAGAAAAUUCGAUUCCCUUAGUAGCGGCGAGCGAAACGGGAAGAGCCCAAACCAACAAGCUUGCUUGUUGGGGUUGUAGGACACUCUAUACGGAGUUACAAAGGACGACAUUAGACGAAUCAUCUGGAAAGAUGAAUCAAAGAAGGUAAUAAUCCUGUAGUCGAAAAUGUUGUCUCUCUUGAGUGGAUCCUGAGUACGACGGAGCACGUGAAAUUCCGUCGGAAUCUGGGAGGACCAUCUCCUAAGGCUAAAUACUCUCUAGUGACCGAUAGUGAACCAGUACCGUGAGGGAAAGGUGAAAAGCACCCCGGAAGGGGAGUGAAAUAGAACCUGAAACCGUGUGCUUACAAGUAGUCAGAGCCCGUUAAUGGGUGAUGGCGUGCCUUUUGUAGAAUGAACCGGCGAGUUACGAUUUGAUGCAAGGUUAAGCAGUAAAUGUGGAGCCGUAGCGAAAGCGAGUCUGAAUAGGGCGUUUAGUAUUUGGUCGUAGACCCGAAACCAGGUGAUCUACCCUUGGUCAGGUUGAAGUUCAGGUAACACUGAAUGGAGGACCGAACCGACUUACGUUGAAAAGUGAGCGGAUGAACUGAGGGUAGCGGAGAAAUUCCAAUCGAACCUGGAGAUAGCUGGUUCUCUCCGAAAUAGCUUUAGGGCUAGCCUCAAGUGAUGAUUAUUGGAGGUAGAGCACUGUUUGGACGAGGGGCCCCUCUCGGGUUACCGAAUUCAGACAAACUCCGAAUGCCAAUUAAUUUAACUUGGGAGUCAGAACAUGGGUGAUAAGGUCCGUGUUCGAAAGGGAAACAGCCCAGACCACCAGCUAAGGUCCCAAAAUAUAUGUUAAGUGGAAAAGGAUGUGGCGUUGCCCAGACAACUAGGAUGUUGGCUUAGAAGCAGCCAUCAUUUAAAGAGUGCGUAAUAGCUCACUAGUCGAGUGACACUGCGCCGAAAAUGUACCGGGGCUAAACAUAUUACCGAAGCUGUGGAUUGUCCUUUGGACAAUGGUAGGAGAGCGUUCUAAGGGCGUUGAAGCAUGAUCGUAAGGACAUGUGGAGCGCUUAGAAGUGAGAAUGCCGGUGUGAGUAGCGAAAGACGGGUGAGAAUCCCGUCCACCGAUUGACUAAGGUUUCCAGAGGAAGGCUCGUCCGCUCUGGGUUAGUCGGGUCCUAAGCUGAGGCCGACAGGCGUAGGCGAUGGAUAACAGGUUGAUAUUCCUGUACCACCUAUAAUCGUUUUAAUCGAUGGGGGGACGCAGUAGGAUAGGCGAAGCGUGCGAUUGGAUUGCACGUCUAAGCAGUAAGGCUGAGUAUUAGGCAAAUCCGGUACUCGUUAAGGCUGAGCUGUGAUGGGGAGAAGACAUUGUGUCUUCGAGUCGUUGAUUUCACACUGCCGAGAAAAGCCUCUAGAUAGAAAAUAGGUGCCCGUACCGCAAACCGACACAGGUAGUCAAGAUGAGAAUUCUAAGGUGAGCGAGCGAACUCUCGUUAAGGAACUCGGCAAAAUGACCCCGUAACUUCGGGAGAAGGGGUGCUCUUUAGGGUUAACGCCCAGAAGAGCCGCAGUGAAUAGGCCCAAGCGACUGUUUAUCAAAAACACAGGUCUCUGCUAAACCGUAAGGUGAUGUAUAGGGGCUGACGCCUGCCCGGUGCUGGAAGGUUAAGAGGAGUGGUUAGCUUCUGCGAAGCUACGAAUCGAAGCCCCAGUAAACGGCGGCCGUAACUAUAACGGUCCUAAGGUAGCGAAAUUCCUUGUCGGGUAAGUUCCGACCCGCACGAAAGGCGUAACGAUUUGGGCACUGUCUCAACGAGAGACUCGGUGAAAUCAUAGUACCUGUGAAGAUGCAGGUUACCCGCGACAGGACGGAAAGACCCCGUGGAGCUUUACUGUAGCCUGAUAUUGAAAUUCGGCACAGCUUGUACAGGAUAGGUAGGAGCCUUUGAAACGUGAGCGCUAGCUUACGUGGAGGCGCUGGUGGGAUACUACCCUAGCUGUGUUGGCUUUCUAACCCGCACCACUUAUCGUGGUGGGAGACAGUGUCAGGCGGGCAGUUUGACUGGGGCGGUCGCCUCCUAAAAGGUAACGGAGGCGCUCAAAGGUUCCCUCAGAAUGGUUGGAAAUCAUUCAUAGAGUGUAAAGGCAUAAGGGAGCUUGACUGCGAGACCUACAAGUCGAGCAGGGUCGAAAGACGGACUUAGUGAUCCGGUGGUUCCGCAUGGAAGGGCCAUCGCUCAACGGAUAAAAGCUACCCCGGGGAUAACAGGCUUAUCUCCCCCAAGAGUUCACAUCGACGGGGAGGUUUGGCACCUCGAUGUCGGCUCAUCGCAUCCUGGGGCUGUAGUCGGUCCCAAGGGUUGGGCUGUUCGCCCAUUAAAGCGGUACGCGAGCUGGGUUCAGAACGUCGUGAGACAGUUCGGUCCCUAUCCGUCGUGGGCGUAGGAAAUUUGAGAGGAGCUGUCCUUAGUACGAGAGGACCGGGAUGGACAUACCUCUGGUGUACCAGUUGUCGUGCCAACGGCAUAGCUGGGUAGCUAUGUGUGGACGGGAUAAGUGCUGAAAGCAUCUAAGCAUGAAGCCCCCCUCAAGAUGAGAUUUCCCAACUUCGGUUAUAAGAUCCCUCAAAGAUGAUGAGGUUAAUAGGUUCGAGGUGGAAGCAUGGUGACAUGUGGAGCUGACGAAUACUAAUCGAUCGAAGACUUAAUCAA
rnacentral:rRNA from 1 species